rnacentral:rRNA from 1 species
GUAGUCUCGCACAGAUGCAUAUCAAUAAGCGGAGGAAAAGAAACUAACAAGGAUUCCCCUAGUAACGGCGAGUGAAGCGGGAAGAGCUCAAAUUUGAAAUCUUAAAGGGUUUCCCUUUACGAAUUGUAGUUUAAAGGAGUGUUUUCUGUUGAGGUUUUGGUAAAAGUUCUUUGGAAUAGGACAUCAUAGAGGGUGAGAAUCCCGUAUUUGACCUUUACUUUCAACUUUGUGAUACACUUUCAAAGAGUCGGAUUGUUUGGGAAUGCAGUCCAAAAUGGGUGGUAAAUUUCAUCUAAAGCUAAAUAUUGGCGAGAGACCGAUAGCGAACAAGUACCGUGAGGGAAAGAUGAAAAGAACUUUGAAAAGAGAGUUAAACAGUACGUGAAAUUGUCAAAAGGGAAGCGUUUGACACCAGUGUUGUUUUUCUGAAAAUCAAUUAAAGAACUGUUUAUGCUAAGUUGUUUAGACUUUAUCAGCUAAUCUGCUUAGUUUUGAGCUUUUCUUUAAUGCACUUUUCAGUUAACAAGUCAACAUCAAUUUCUUUUGCUGUAAAAAAGCUUGAGGAAGGUGGCUUGAGAUUCGUCUUAAGUGUUUAUAGCCUCUUGCCUAUGCAGUCGGAGAGAUUGAGGUCUGCAGCGUAGAUCCUUCGGGGCUAAAUGCAUUUGUGCUAAGUUAUAGCAUUUUAUAGACAACUUGUUGACUAUGAUUUGUCUUGUAGCUUACUCGCUUAUGUUAUUUUACCUACGCUUAGGAUGUUGACAGCAGUAUAGACUGU